AUCCUUUUUGAUUCAUAAGCAUGGUGAUUAGGAAUCUGCACUGUCCUGAGAUGUGCCUCCCUCUAAACCUUAUUAUGACUCUGGCACAUAUCCAUCUUACA
rnacentral:snoRNA from 1 species